GAGACCUCACAUGCUUCCACUCUCUCUUUCGUAACCCCACCAGCUUCCACAAGAACGAGCCUAGGCUAGUCUGAUGCAGGAUAAGAGACCAUAUGGAGCAGAGAUGAGCCAACCCAACAGGACCUGCACGAGUGACCUCAAAGACAGAAGCACCACCCAGCUGAACCCAUCUUCAACGGUCAGCCUGAAGAAUUGCUCCAGCCACAAUGCCCAACUUGAUUCACCCAGGAGAGGAAGAAAAAGAACGGCUUGGCGCACUUUCCUCUGUCGGCUUCGUCCUCAGCAGCACCCGGGGAGGCCAGCGGCCCGGCGGCUCCCCGCUCAGCAGUCAGGAAGGAAGGAGGGCACUUCCUUUCCAAGUUUCCAGAACAAGUCCCAGGCCUGAUUCUGACUGGUCUCACUUGAUCAUGUGCACGUCCCUCCGCCUAUCACCGAGGUCAGAGGCCGUGUUUCCUGUCUGUGAAAUGAUAGCAGAGCCAC